rnacentral:rRNA from 1 species
CUCAGAUUGAACGCUGGCGGCGUGCCUAACACAUGCAAGUCGAACGAGAACGGAUAUUAGCUUGCUAAUAUUGUCAGCUAAGUGGCGCACGGGUGAGUAAUAUAUAGUUAACCUGCCCCAAAGAAGAGAAUAAUUGUUGGAAACGACUUGUAAUGCUCUAUAUGCCUUUAUUACAUAAGUAAGCAAGGGAAAUAUUUAUAGCUUUGGGAUGAGACUGUACGGUAUCAGUUAGUUGGUGAGGUAAUGGCUCACCAAGACAAUGACACCUAACUGGUUUGAGAGGAUGAUCAGUCACACUGGAACUGAGACACGGUCCAGACUCCUACGGGAGGCAGCAGUGGGGAAUAUUGCACAAUGGACGAAAGUCUGAUGCAGCAACGCCGCGUGGAGGAUGACACUUUUCGGAGCGUAAACUCCUUUUAUAUAGGAAGAUAAUGACGGGUACUAUAUGAAUAAGCACCGGCUAACUCCGU